GCCAUGGCUUCCUCUGAAGGUACCGUCACAUUCUUCGUCCCUUCUGACAGAGGUUUACAACCCUAAGGCCUUCAUCCCUCACGCGGCAUUGCUCCGUCAGGCUUGCGCCCAUUGCGGAAGAUUCUCG
rnacentral:rRNA from 1 species